GAUCUUUAUAAAUCUGAAGGCCAACAGAAGAUAUUCGGGAGUCAUCCACUUGGGGAAGCCUAACUAAUAGACUUGCAGAACAAAAAGCUGUGGUUCUCUGUGAACACUGAAGAGCAUUGCUUUUCACACAAGAUGAAGAAUACAGGUGCUUCCUGAGAGAAGUGAACAACUUUUGUGAAGCUGUGUUUUGCAGAAGGACUUGACAUCAAAAAGAACAUCUAGAGAACAGCAACCCAGAGGGAUGUAUGCAAGUGUUACACCAGCAUUCCUUAGAAGAGAAGAGUAAAACUAAGAGGAAUUCUGGGCUGGUGGCCACAGAGUAAUUCUGGAAAACUUGUGGAGGUCCUUGCUGAGCUUUCAGACGGACAGCUCUGGAAACUGAUACCAUCCCACGGGUGUCAUGAAAGAGCAAGUUUCACCUGAGAUGCAAUCUGGACAAUGCAGGAGUUCAGUUUCACCUGAGAUGCAAUCUGGACCCACCCACGGGGAAGCAGAGGGAACACCAUCCUAUCCCACAGCCAGGGAAGAACA